AUCGAACGCUGGCGGCAGGCUUAACACAUGCAAGUCGAGCGAGCGGAGGACGGGUGAGUAAUGUCUGGGAAACUGCCUGAUGGAGGGGGCCAACUACUGGAAACGGUAGCUAAUACCGCAUACCAUCAGAUGUGCCCAGGUGGGAUUAGCUAGUCGGUGGGGUAAUGGGUCACCUAGGCGACGAUCCCUAGCUGGUCUGAGAGGAUGACCAGCCACACGGGGACUGAGACACGGUCCAGACUCCUACGGAAGGCAGCAGUGGGGAAUAUUGCACAAUGGGCGCAAGCCUGAUGCAGACAUGCCGCGUGUGUGAAGAAGGCCUUCGGGUUGUAAAGCACUGUCAGCGGGGAGGCGUUACUCGCAGAAGAAGCACCGGCUAACUCCGUGCCAGCAGCCGCGGUAAUAC
rnacentral:rRNA from 1 species